CGGACCGGCGCACGGGUGAGUAACGCGUAUGCGACCUGCCCGUUGCAGGGGGGAUAAUCGGGAGAAAUCCCGUCUAAUACCGCGUAACGCCGCGGGGCUGCAUGGCCCUGCGGCCAAAGGGAGCGAUUCCGGCAACGGAUGGGCAUGCGUGACAUUAGCUAGUUGGCGGGGCAACGGCCCACCAAGGCGACGAUGUCUAGGGGUUCUGAGAGGAAGGUCCCCCACACUGGUACUGAGACACGGACCAGACUCCUACGGGAGGCAGCAG
rnacentral:rRNA from 1 species